GCACAAGCGGUGGGGCAUGUGGUUUAAUUCGAAGCAACGCGAAGAACCUUACCAGGUCUUGACAUCCCGAUGCUAUUUCUAGAGAUAGAAAGUUACUUCGGUACAUCGGUGACAGGUGGUGCAUGGUUGUCGUCAGCUCGUGUCGUGAGAUGUUGGGUUAAGUCCCGCAACGAGCGCAACCCUCGACCUUAGUUGCCAGCAUUCAGUUGGGCACUCUAAGGUGACUGCCGGCUAAAAGUCGGAGGAAGGUGGGGAUGACGUCAAAUCAUCAUGCCCCUUAUGACCUGGGCUACACACGUGCUACAAUGGGCGGUACAAAGGGUCGCGAACCCGCGAGGGGGAGCCAAUCCCAAAAAGCCGCUCUCAGUUCGGAUUGCAGGCUGCAACUCGCCUGCAUGAAGCCGGAAUCGCUAGUAAUCGCGGAUCAGCAUGCCGCGGUGAAUACGUUCCCGGGCCUU
rnacentral:rRNA from 1 species